UACGUAGGGGGCAAGCGUUGUCCGGAAUCAUUGGGCGUAAAGCGCGUGUAGGCGGUCCGGUAAGUCCGCUGUGAAAGUCGGGGGCUCAACCCUCGGAUGCCGGUGGAUACUGUCGGGCUUGAGUACGGAAGAGGCGAGUGGAAUUCCUGGUGUAGCGGUGGAAUGCGCAGAUAUCAGGAGGAACACCGAUGGCGAAGGCAGCUCGCUGGGACGGUACUGACGCUGAGGCGCGAAAGCGUGGGGAGCGAACAGG
rnacentral:rRNA from 1 species